UGGGGAAUCUUCCGCAAUGGACGAAAGUCUGACGGAGCAACGCCGCGUGAGUGAAGACGGCCUUCGGGUUGUAAAGCUCUGUGAUUCGGGACGAAAGGCCAUAUGUGAAUAAUAUAUGGAAAUGACGGUACCGAAAAAGCAAGCCACGGCUAACUACGUGCCAGCAGCCGCGGUAAUACGUAGGUGGCAAGCGUUGUCCGGAAUUAUUGGGCGUAAAGCGCGCGCAGGUGGUUUAGAAAGUCUGAUGUGAAAGCCCACGGCUCAACCGUGGAGGGUCAUUGGAAACUAAUAAACUUGAGUGCAGGAGAGAAAAGUGGAAUUCCUAGUGUAGCGGUGAAAUGCGUAGAGAUUAGGAGGAACACCGGUGGCGAAAGCGACUUUCUGGACUUUUACUGACGCUCAGGUACGAAAGCGUGGGGAGCAAACAGG
rnacentral:rRNA from 1 species